GUGCUGCUUUGGAAGCACAUAUACAAAAACUGGAACAAUACAGAGAUUAAUAUGGUCCCUAUACAAGAAUGACCGCAAAUUCAUGAAACAUUCCAUAUUUAA
rnacentral:snRNA from 1 species